rnacentral:rRNA from 1 species
CAGGCUUAACACAUGCAAGUCGAGGGGCAGCAUGGUCUUAGCUUGCUAAGACUGAUGGCGACCGGCGCACGGGUGAGUAACACGUAUCCAACCUGCCGUCUACUCUUGGACAGCCUUCUGAAAGGAAGAUUAAUACAAGAUGGCAUCAUGAGUCCGCAUGUUCACAUGAUUAAAGGUAUUCCGGUAGACGAUGGGGAUGCGUUCCAUUAGAUAGUAGGCGGGGUAACGGCCCACCUAGUCUUCGAUGGAUAGGGGUUCUGAGAGGAAGGUCCCCCACAUUGGAACUGAGACACGGUCCAAACUCCUACGGGAGGCAGCAGUGAGGAAUAUUGGUCAAUGGGCGAGAGCCUGAACCAGCCAAGUAGCGUGAAGGAUGACUGCCCUAUGGGUUGUAAACUUCUUUUAUAAAGGAAUAAAGUCGGGUAUGCAUACCCGUUUGCAUGUACUUUAUGAAUAAGGAUCGGCUAACUCCGUGCCAGCAGCCGCGGUAAUACGGAGGAUCCGAGCGUUAUCCGGAUUUAUUGGGUUUAAAGGGAGCGUAGAUGGAUGUUUAAGUCAGUUGUGAAAGUUUGCGGCUCAACCGUAAAAUUGCAGUUGAUACUGGAUAUCUUGAGUGCAGUUGAGGCAGGCGGAAUUCGUGGUGUAGCGGUGAAAUGCUUAGAUAUCACGAAGAACUCCGAUUGCGAAGGCAGCCUGCUAAGCUGCAACUGACAUUGAGGCUCGAAAGUGUGGGUAUCAAACAGGAUUAGAUACCCUGGUAGUCCACACGGUAAACGAUGAAUACUCGCUGUUUGCGAUAUACUGCAAGCGGCCAAGCGAAAGCGUUAAGUAUUCCACCUGGGGAGUACGCCGGCAACGGUGAAACUCAAAGGAAUUGACGGGGGCCCGCACAAGCGGAGGAACAUGUGGUUUAAUUCGAUGAUACGCGAGGAACCUUACCCGGGCUUAAAUUGCAGAUGAAUUACGGUGAAAGCCGUAAGCCGCAAGGCAUCUGUGAAGGUGCUGCAUGGUUGUCGUCAGCUCGUGCCGUGAGGUGUCGGCUUAAGUGCCAUAACGAGCGCAACCCUUGUUGUCAGUUACUAACAGGUUCCGCUGAGGACUCUGACAAGACUGCCAUCGUAAGAUGUGAGGAAGGUGGGGAUGACGUCAAAUCAGCACGGCCCUUACGUCCGGGGCUACACACGUGUUACAAUGGGGGGUACAGAGGGCCGCUACCACGCGAGUGGAUGCCAAUCCCCAAAACCUCUCUCAGUUCGGACUGGAGUCUGCAACCCGACUCCACGAAGCUGGAUUCGCUAGUAAUCGCGCAUCAGCCACGGCGCGGUGAAUACGUUCCCGGGCCUUGUACACACCGCCCGUCAAGCCAUGGGAGCCGGGGGUACCUGAAGUGCGUAACCGCGAGGAGCGCCCUAGGGUAAAACUGGUGACUGGGGCUAAGUCAUAAC